UACGGAGGAUGCGAGCGUUAUCCGGAUUUAUUGGGUUUAAAGGGUGCGUAGGCGGAAUAUCAAGUCAGCGGUAAAAAUUCGGGGCUCAACCCCGUCGUGCCAUUGAAACUGAUGUUCUUGAGUGGGCGAGAAGUAUGCGGAAUGCGUGGUGUAGCGGUGAAAUGCAUAGAUAUCACGCAGAACUCCGAUUGCGAAGGCAGCAUACCGGCGCCCAACUGACGCUGAAGCACGAAAGCGUGGGUAUCGAACAGG
rnacentral:rRNA from 1 species